UACGUAGGGGGCUAGCGUUGUCCGGAAUUAUUGGGCGUAAAGAGCGUGUAGGCGGCCAGAUAAGUCCGCUGUGAAAUCUCGAGGCUCAACUUCGAGCUGUCGGUGGAAACUAUCUGGCUAGAGUCCGGAAGAGGAGAAUGGAAUUCCUGGUGUAGCGGUGAAAUGCGCAGAUAUCAGGAAGAACACCUAUGGCGAAGGCAGCUCUCUGGGACGGUACUGACGCUGAGACGCGAAAGCGUGGGGAGCGAACAGG
rnacentral:rRNA from 1 species